rnacentral:misc_RNA from 1 species
GAUGAAGAACGCAGCGAAAUGCGAUAAGUAAUGUGAAUUGCAGAAUUCAGUGAAUCAUCGAAUCUUUGAACGCACAUUGCGCCCGCCAGUAUUCUGGCGGGCAUGCCUGUCCGAGCGUCAUUUCAACCCUCGAACCCCUCCGGGGGGUCGGCGUUGGGGAUCGGCCCUUUACGGGGCCGGCCCCGAAAUACAGUGGCGGUCUCGCCGCAGCCUCUCCUGCGCAGUAGGUUGCACACUCGCAUCGGGAGCGCGGCGCGUCCACAGCCGUUAAACAUCCCAAACUUCUGAAAUGUUGACCUCGGAUCAGGUAGGAAUACCCGCUGAACUUAAGCAUAUCAAUAAGCGGAGGA